rnacentral:rRNA from 1 species
AUUGAACGCUGGCGGCAUGCCUUACACAUGCAAGUCGAACGGCAGCAUGGAGAGCUUGCUCUCUGAUGGCGAGUGGCGAACGGGUGAGUAAUGCAUCGGAACGUACCGUGUAAUGGGGGAUAACGUAGCGAAAGUUACGCUAAUACCGCAUACGACCUGAGGGUGAAAGCAGGGGAUCGCAAGACCUUGCGUUAUACGAGCGGCCGAUGUCAGAUUAGCUAGUUGGUGAGGUAAAGGCUCACCAAGGCGAGGAUCUGUAGCGGGGCUGAGAGGAUGAUCCGCAACACUGGGACUGAGACACGGCCCAGACUCCUACGGGAGGCAGCAGUGGGGAAUUCUGGACAAUGGGGGCAACCCUGAUCCAGCCAUGCCGCGUGAGUGAAGAAGGCCUUCGGGUUGUAAAGCUCUUUCGGCCGGGAAGAAAUCGCACAGGCUAAUACUCUGUGUGGAUGACGGUACCGGCAUAAGAAGCACCGGCUAACUACGUGCCAGCAGCCGCGGUAA